CCCCACUGCCCCCUCACAAGUGUGCUUCAUCAAAGUCCUUCACGAUCCUGCUCUAUGGAUAACACACAGUUCUGACCCUUUUACGACUUCCUUCUCCUCCCAGCUUUCCUGAGGACUCGGGGGGGAAUAAGGCACCGAGUGUGCAGAGCAGCAAGGACUGAGAGGGAGUGAGGCUCAGCGUGUUAGCAGGCCCCCACAUCAGGAAAAACCACGAAUCCUCAGCCUCCAGCAGGGAGAUUGUUCUCAAUAGGUACGUGUUCAUUAUUCUGACCAAGCCUGUUCCCACCACGCCGGUUUCCUCUGUAGAAUUCAGCAGCUGGAACAUUUGUGCAGUAAAAAGGAACUGAGAGUAUCAGUGUCUGGGCUCGUGUGACAGCGGGGCGGGGAUGGUAAGCAGCGCAGUGACCCGGCGCUGGAGACGCACUGUGCACAGCAGACAUCAUGGCUGGGAGGGGAGACGGCCGGGCUACGGAUACGCGUUUGCCGGAGCACUGGAGGGAUGUGCGAGAAUGGAGCGUGGAGAAGAGACAGAGCCACCAAGCCACUGAGUACGGAGCAAAAAACACGUGGCGGAUGCACUCAUUAACCGGAACAACCAGAUGGAUCGUUACACUGAACCACCCAGAGGCUAUCCAUGGAAGGGUUUGGAAAAGGGCAACUACUUUCCAAAAAUACAUCUGAAGGAAAUCGGAAGGAGAGCGAAGAACAUCCGUCGGUGUCGUUCUUUUCUUUGCUUUCAAUUAAGAAUGACUCUCUGGUUCAGCAUAUGUGGGUUGCAGAUGUGGAAGCUGUCCUCAGGUCCAUGGAGAGACAGUUGAAUGCUUCACUGGAGAAAUAUCCUCGUACAAGCGCAGUCUGCCCAGAGCGUUGUCCUCCAUCUCCUUUGAACCGCGGCGGGUGUCUCUGCUGCCGACCAGCUGAUCCGGAGAGGCGCCUUAAGAUGGUCUGAAAUGAUUUGGAGGCAAGAGAAACGCUCAGCGAUCCCGUUUUCUUUGCAAACCUGAACCCUUCAAUCCCUCAUGCAAUGACCUGUCCUCAUAAGCCGUUUUUGCCAUUCAGCUGAGGAAAGUCAUUUCACACUUGAGUGUAUCUUUACUUAUCCGUCCCCUGAGCGCUGAAAAGUAGAUUUCAACUUGAGAUCUUCCCGCGAUGACUUCCAGCUUCAUGUUCUUAAUACUCUGCUAACGACUGACUAAUGAAUAAACAAGUCUCUCUGCGAC
ensembl:lncRNA